rfam:Felis catus isolate Cinnamon breed Abyssinian chromosome B2, whole genome shotgun sequence.
GCCUGGGUGGCUCAGUUGGUUGAGCGUCCAACUUUGGCUUGGGUCAUGAUCUUACAGCUCGUGAGUUCGAGCCCCACAUUGGGCU